CCUGGUGGUCAUGGCGGGGAAUUAAACGCUCCAUUCCAUCCCGAACUGGAAAGCGAAGGUCCCCUGCGGCGAUGGUACUGUGUCCUUGAGGCGUGGGAGAGUAGCACGCUGCCAGGC
rnacentral:rRNA from 1 species